rnacentral:rRNA from 1 species
AGUGAAUAGAUACCCGGGUAGUCCUAGCCGUAAACGAUACUCGCUAGGUGUCGGCCACGGUGCGACCGUUGUCGGUGCCGUAGGGAAAGCCGUGAAGCGAGCCACCUGGGAAGUACGGCCGCAAGGCUGAAACUUAAAGGAAUUGGCGGGGGAGCACCACAACGGGUGGAGCUUGCGGUUUAAUUGGAUUCAACGCCGGAAAUCUUACCGGGACCGACAGCAAUAUGAAGGCCAGGCUGAAGACUUUGCCGGAUUAGCUGAGAGGUGGUGCAUGGCCGUCGUCAGUUCGUACUGUGAAGCAUCCUGUUAAGUCAGGCAACGAGCGAGACCCACGCCCACAGUUGCCAGCGUACUCUCCGGAGUGACGGGUACACUGUGGGGACCGCCGCUGCUAAAGCGGAGGAAGGAAUGGGCAACGGUAGGUCAGUAUGCCCCGAAUAUCCCGGGCUACACGCGAGCUACAAUGGUUGGUACAAUGGGUAUCUACCCCGAAAGGGGAUGGAAAUCUCCUAAAGCCAAUCUUAGUUCGGAUUGAGGGCUGCAACUCGCCCUC